rnacentral:rRNA from 1 species
UACGUAGGUGGCAAGCGUUGUCCGGAAUUACUGGGUGUAAAGGGAGCGUAGGCGGGGUUUCAAGUCAGAAGUGAAAAUUACGGGCUCAACUCGUAACCUGCUUUUGAAACUGAAACUCUUGAGUGAAGUAGAGGCAAGCGGAAUUCCUAGUGUAGCGGUGAAAUGCGUAGAUAUUAGGAGGAACACCAGUGGCGAAGGCGGCUUGCUGGGCUUUUACUGACGCUGAGGCUCGAAAGCAUGGGUAGCGAACAGG